AUUGAACGCUGGCGGCAUGCCUUACACAUGCAAGUCGAACGGUAACAGGUUAAGCUGACGAGUGGCGAACGGGUGAGUAAUGUAUCGGGACGUGCCCAGUCGUGGGGGAUAACUACUCGAAAGAGUGGCUAAUACCGCAUACGACCUGAGGGUGGAAACGGGGGACCGUAAGGCCUCGCGCGAUUGGAGCGGCCGAUAUCAGAUUAGCUAGUUGGUGGGGUAAAAGCCCACCAAGGCGACGAUCUGUAGCUGGUCUGAGAGGACGACCAGCCACACUGGGACUGAGACACGGCCCAGACUCCUACGGGAGGCAGCAGUGGGGAAUUUUGGACAAUGGACGCAAGUCUGAUCCAGCCAUGCCGCGUGCGGGAAGAAGGCCUUCGGGUUGUAAACCGCUUUUGUCAGGGAAGAAACGAGUUUCUCUAAUACAGAGACUUAAUGACGGUACCUGAAGAAUAAGCACCGGCUAACUACGUGCCAGCAGCCGCCGUAAUAC
rnacentral:rRNA from 1 species